ACGGAGGGAGCAAGCGUUGUUCGGAAUUACUGGGCGUAAAGCGCACGUAGGCGGCUUUGUAAGUCAGAGGUGAAAGCCCGGAGCUCAACUCCGGAACUGCCUUUGAGACUGCAUCGCUUGAAUCCAGGAGAGGUGAGUGGAAUUCCGAGUGUAGAGGUGAAAUGCGUAGAUAUUUGGAGGAACACCGAUGGCGAAGGCGGCUCACUGGACUAGUACUGACGCUGAGGUGCGAAAGCGUGGGGAGCAAACAG
rnacentral:rRNA from 1 species